rnacentral:rRNA from 1 species
GACGAACGCUGGCGGCGUGCUUAACACAUGCAAGUCGAACGAAGUGGCGAACGGGUGAGUAACGCGUAAUCAACCUGCCCUUCAGAGGGGGACAACAGUUGGAAACGACUGCUAUUACCGCAUACUUAAGGAGGGGAUUGCGUCUGAUUAGCUAGUUGGGGGGGUAACGGCCCACCAAGGCGAUGAUCAGUAGCCGGUCUGAGAGGAUGAACGGCCAAAUUGGGACGGGAAAAAGGCCCAGACUCCUAAGGGAGGCAGCAGUGGGGAAUCGUCCGAAAUGGACGAAAGUCUGACGAAGGAACGCCGCGGGAGUGAUGACGGCCUUCGGGUUGGAAAGCUCUGUUAAUCGGGACGCGGUACCGGAAUAGAAAGCCACGGCUAACUACGUGCCAGCAGCCGCGGUAAUAC